GACGAACGCUGGCGGCGUGCUUAACACAUGCAAGUCGAACGGAAAGGCCCUGCUUUUGUGGGGUGCUCGAGUGGCGAACGGGUGAGUAACACGUGAGUAACCUGCCCUUGACUUUGGGAUAACUUCAGGAAACUGGGGCUAAUACCGGAUAGGAGCUCCUGCUGCAUGGUGUGGGUUGGAAAGUUUCGGCGGUUGGGGAUGGACUCGCGGCUUAUCAGCUUGUUGGUGGGGUAGUGGCUUACCAAGGCUUUGACGGGUAGCCGGCCUGAGAGGGUGACCGGCCACAUUGGGACUGGGAUGCGGCCCAGACUCCUACGGGAGGCAGCAGUGGGGAAUAUUGCACGAUGGGCGGAAGCCUGAUGCAGCAACGCCGCGUGCGGGAUGACGGCCUUCGGGUUGUAAACCGCUUUCGCCUGUGACGAAGCGUGAGUGACGGUAAUGGGUAAAGAAGCACCGGCUAACUACGUG
rnacentral:rRNA from 1 species